CCUACGGGUGGCAGCAGUAGGGAAUAUUGCUCAAUGGGGGAAACCCUGAAGCAGCAACGCCGCGUGGAGGAUGACGGUUUUCGGAUUGUAAACUCCUUUUGUUAGAGAAGAUAAUGACGGUAUCUAACGAAUAAGCACCGGCUAACUCCGUGCCAGCAGCCGCGGUCAUACGGAGGGUGGAAGCGUUACUCGGAAUCACUGGGCGGAAAGAGCGCGGAGGCGGGAUAGCAAGUCAGAUGUGAAAUCCUAUGGCUUAACCAUAGAACUGCAUUUGAAACUGUUAUUCUAGAGUAUGGGAGAGGUAGGUGGAAUGCUUGGUGUAGGGGUAAAAUCCGUAGAGAUCAAGAGGAAUACUCAUUGCGAAGGCGACCUGCUAGAACAUAACUGACGCUGAUGCGCGAAAGCGUGGGGAGCAAACAGGAUUAGAUACCCCUGUAGUC
rnacentral:rRNA from 1 species